UUUCCUCAGUGCCUCGCUCUGGGUCUAAUGUGAAUUAAGCCUGGUCUCCAUCCUGUCAUUAUAAUCGGUAGCUAGCCACUGAAAAGUUCGGUAACCGCUCAAAACGGUUUAUUCUCUGCUCUUUCUCUUCAUCAUCGGCUGUGGCGCUGAUUUAGCUCAAAUUAAGAGGGGUCGAGGACUCGAUUCCAGCGGCGCCGGGCGUUAAUGAGCCUCAGCUGUCGCGGUGAUUCUGACGGUGAUUUUCCAGAAUGCUCUGCCGGCCGAGUCCGAGGUGAGCUUCGACAAAACAAGCGUAGAGCUGCAGCUGGGUCUCAUGGGGCCAAUGCAGAGCGGUGCCGGGGACACGGCGGUCCACGAGGUCACGCUUUUCACAGAUCUCCCCCAGCAGGCGGACAUCCGCAUCACACAGAGUGAUUGAGCCAGGAAUCUCCAAAUACCUUGCACCACCUGCACAAUUUGAUUGAGAUCCUAGGAGCAAGCAUCUUCUUUCCUGAGCUGGAAACAAUCUCGUUGAGCUCCUCCAAAAAUCAAGCCUGGCAUUUCCCUGCUCUUGUAAGCACUUCACUGCCUGAUAGGAGUGAUGGAUGGAUAGUGAGUGCUUCACUCUUCACCCUCUUGACUCUCAUUAC